rnacentral:other from 1 species
CUUCCAUACUAACUAGUACAUCUUAAAC